CCUACGGGAGGCAGCAGUGGGGAAUAUUGGGCAAUGGGCGCAAGCCUGACCCAGCAACGCCGCGUGAAGGAAGAAGGCUUUCGGGUUGUAAACUUCUUUUCUCAGGGACGAAGCAAGUGACGGUACCUGAGGAAUAAGCCACGGCUAACUACGUGCCAGCAGCCGCGGUAAUACGUAGGUGGCAAGCGUUAUCCGGAUUUACUGGGUGUAAAGGGUGCGUAGGCGGUCCGGAAAGUCAGCGGUAAAAGCCCG
rnacentral:rRNA from 1 species